GGUGGCGGCGGCGAGGGCCUGGUCGCGGUCCUUGCCGAGGGCUAUGAGCCGGUCAGGUCCUGCCGCGUUCAGGUUCGCGUCGCUGCUG
rnacentral:tRNA from 1 species